UUUACAAUGGAGAGUUUGAUCCUGGCUCAGGAUGAACGCUAGCGGCAGGCCUAAUACAUGCAAGUCGGACGGGAUUUGGGAGCUUGCUCCUAAUGAGAGUGGCG
rnacentral:rRNA from 1 species